UAAAGAAACACCCCUUUUCUUCCUUUUUUUUUUGGGGAUUUUUUUUUUUGAUCAAGAAUGAGAAAUAUAGCAAGUUGUUACAAUGAGCAUGCUAUAAAAGUAACAAAUUCAUAUUGUUCAAAUCCAUCAAAUCAAGUAGUAUAUAACAUUCCUUCACUACAAAAUGUUGUUACAUGUAUUUACAAAGUGAAAAUUUCAUC
rnacentral:lncRNA from 1 species